CAGCCCUUGACAUCCCGGUCGCGGUUUCCAGAGAUGGAUUCCUUCAGUUCGGCUGGACCGGAGACAGGUGCUGCAUGGCUGUCGUCAGCUCGUGUCGUGAGAUGUUGGGUUAAGUCCCGCAACGAGCGCAACCCCCGCCCUUAGUUGCUACCAUUUAGUUGAGCACUCUAAGGAGACUGCCGGUGAUGAGCCGCGAGGAAGGUGGGGAUGACGUCAAGUCCUCAUGGCCCUUACGGGCUGGGCUACACACGUGCUACAAUGGCGGUGACAAUGGGACGCUAAGGGGCAACCCUUCGCAAAUCUCAAAAAGCCGUCUCAGUUCGGAUUGGGCUCUGCAACUCGAGCCCAUGAAGUUGGAAUCGCUAGUAAUCGUGGAUCAGC
rnacentral:rRNA from 1 species